AUUUCCCUCCCAAACUCAUUAAACUCUCAAAUUUCUUCUAAGCCCUAAAAUCAAUAAUAAAAAAAAUAAUAAUUAAUUUGCUUUUUUUCAAUAAACAACCCCUCAAUCAAAAAUUCAGAUUUCUUGUCUCAAAUCCUAAAUCCACAACUUCACCUCCAAACACCAUUCUUCGCCUGCGUCAUGAAUCGUAGUUGAAGAGGUAUGUUUUGGUUUUUCUGUUGAAACUCAAUUGAAGAGAUACAUUCAGAUUUCCGUUGCACAUUCCUUUCUUCAAUCGAUUCAACUCUCCUUCUCAGUCGUGCUAGUUUUCUUUGAAUCAUGAAUCCCAAAAAGGCAAAUAUGAGUCGAACAAAUCACAUAAUGUGGUCAUGAAAGCUGAUUUUAAGUAUCUAUAUGCACAUAAAUGGUACCAUCAGUUAGACAAGCUUAUUCAUUAAGUGAACAAGGUGUCACCCCCUUUGACAAGGAUCCAAAGUUGCAUAUAAAGAAAAGACAAACAGUAAUGAGUGGCUGUUAUUUGGCUGUGAGACAACAGAAUAUUUUAGAGGGUGAAAGAACUCGGUGCCAAAUAUAAGUUCAUUAGUGGAUGCUUUAGCAAUUGCUCAACACCAUGAUGAUGUCACUUGCACAGAAAAGCAGCACAGGGCCAACGAUCGUGCUAAACGGUUGGCGACAGGCUACAAGGAGGUGCAGUUUCAGUUUAUCUGUGUUCAAGAUGUAGUGAAUUAGAUGCUUUGUCUGAGGAAACUGAUGGGAGAUAUUACACCACUCUUCAUAGUCUCUCAGAUAUACUAUUUAAUGCCUUUGGUUCAUUCUUAGCUGUUAUGGAGAAUGGUACUUUAAAAGAAGCUAUUGGAAUUUGGAAGCACAAUUUUGAUAAAGAAUUUGAAGGAAGGUGUUGAGUGUCAUACCCCAAAAUUUGCCCAUCUCAUUUCAUCUGAAGGGUACAAGAGAUUAUAGGUCCUCCAAAAAAUCCUAGAACAUGUUCAUAUGAAAAAAAUUGAAGGAGAUACAAGGUUCAGAAGUUGGUCGAUCUUGGUGAAAUACAUAAAAGGCAAGAAUGGAUCAUUUUGAGUUUUUUAACCAAAUGGGCUUAAAUCUUUGAUUUCCAACUUGAUCCAUGAAUUAUCCACGGCCCAUAAGUCAUUCAACUUAUUUUGAGAGUAUAUUAUUUAUUAUUUAUUUUGAAUUUAAUCACCUAAAUUCAAUUUAAAAUUAAAUAAAAUACUUAAAAAAUAAUCAAAGGUCAAUAUAUUAUUCUAACUUAUUUCAAUAUCUCAUCAAAGAUUAGUGCAAAUCAAAUUAAAUAUAUCAUCUUUUCAUACCAAUUUCGUGACAAUAGGAUUAAGGAGAAUAAGACCAAGUUUUAGCCAAAAUUGGAAAUUUGAGAUGGUGAUUUGCAAUCAAGGUCAAUUUCUUGAUUCAAGUGGAUUUUGUACAAACCAAAUGACCUAAUUCAAUAAUAUAUAAACUAGCAAGAAUUGCAGCCAGGGGGAGGCGAAAAUUCUGGCCUCCAAGAUGCUUUUGCCGCAAAAGGAAAAACUGAUUGAAGAACAAAAAAAAAACGUGAGAAGGAGGAGAGGGGACAUUCACGGUUUAAGAUCGAUUCAAGGCAUCCUAAGUAUUCAAAGCGAUUCUUAGGUGUAUUCUGAGGCUAUUCGGAUCAUCACUUGCAAUCGACACGCCCAAAAUCGCCAUCGAUGGGGCUUUGGUUUGCAUAACUUUUUAUUUUUUCGAUUCUGGUCGUGCAGGCGUUUUAAACGAAUUUCGAUUAUAUAAUCAUGCUUAUAACAUUGUUGCAAUGCUUUCUGGUUAAUUUAAUUGAAGUUUAAUUGCAGAUAUUGGAAUCCACCAUUGUUAGGAUCCCAAGCUCUAAAUUGGGGUUUUAUAAAUUAAAUGGAAUUGGACUAAACAGGAUAUGCCAUCAUGUUCGGACCGUGAUUUGGAGUCGACCUGUGCUAUUUUAUUUCGUUCACAUACCAUGCUUCACAAGAUGGAUUUUCGCAGGGGAAAAAAAACAAAAAAAGCGCAGCGUGAGAUGAAGAAGAAGGCUGGCUGCUGCAAAUUGAAAUUGGUCCCUUAGCUUUCUAUUUAAUUCAUUACGUGUGGUGUAAUAACAGCAAAGUCACGCAGGUGAGUUGGCUAGAGAUGGAUGCCUCCAAUCGAAGGGUCUCGCGUUCGAACCCUGCAGGAGACCUACAUAUUUUUGCAAAUUGUGUGGUUUCAGUCACUUGUAGAUUCGGUGCUUUCCCCCCACGCGCGCACAUGGUGUUCCUCACUCCCUGGCCAUCAGAUCUCACCAGAAUUAGAUCUAACGCCUUAGAACUGCAAGGUGUACCAUGGGAUCUCAGAGGUGUAUCACAUAAGAUUAUUACCAGGUUUCUUUAUACUUUUUAUAUUAUUUAUACAAAUUGUUUAAUUAUGUAUAUAUAUAUAUAUAUAUUAAUAUGCAUACAUUUUUGUUAAUUAGGGUUAAAGAAUUAAACUAGGAUUAGGUUUAGGAUUACCACUCGAUUAUUCGAAUAUUUCGAUUAAUUUAUUUAAUUGAUUUUAAAUUAAUAUUAAAUCAUAAAAAUCCUAGAAAGGUUAAGGCGUUAGGGUUCGCCCAAUCCCAUUGCCCAUUUGGCGAAACAUUCAUCUUCGAUUAAUUCUCUCCUCAACCCGACUAAAUCUAUUAGUCGCAUUAGACGAGAGAUAAAACAAUAGAACAAUUAAUCCUUCAUUUUAAUUCUCUCUUCGACCCGACUAAAUCUAUUAGUCGCAAUAGACGAGAGAUAAAAAAAUAUAAAUUAAAAUACAUUUCAAUUUGCUGCCCGUGAUGAUCAAUCUAUCGAUCUGAGCAAUCAGCAAUGCCUUUAAUUCGUUAGCUAUACUGACCAAAUCCAUUGGUCACCGCAUCUAACGGUGCCAAAUCAAAUCAGGGUUGUAUGCCAAAUCUCAAAACAUUUUCCACAUUCAAAUAAAUUUCAAAACUGCGAAUAGGCCAUUCAAAAAGCCUUUAAACAAUUUCAAACCACAAAAUUCAAUCCUAAGGCGUACAACCCUGUGCCCGAACUACGUUGACUCUGAUUCUCCCUAAGGAGAUACGUAGGCACUUGGAUAACCAAGGCGAGUCCCCCUCCCUAAAAUCUCAAUUUUCCCCCUAUUCAAUUCAUUAGCUAUAAACCUUAUAAUUACUGCCAUAACCCUUAUCUUUACAAUGUUAGCCUUUAGGAAAGGGUUGAGGGUGCCUAAUACCUUCCCUCAACCUGAUUAUAAUAACUUACCCUGAAUCUCAUAUCUGCGUAGGAUUUCCUAUUCGCCCUUCAGAAUAGGUGGCGACUCUAAACCUUCAAAUUUAAGGCAGGUUGCUACAUUGAGGAGUAUUGAAUCUCAUGGAGAUUAGGAAUGAUGAUAUAGAUGAAGAUUUCUAGUCAAUAAAAAAUGAAGGGACCUAGAUGUAGAGAUUUAGAUGUAGAUGUUUAAGUUUUUUGAAUAUAUGUAGAUGGUCAUUUUAAAUUUAUUUUAUUUUGAUUGGAAAUGAUGAUUAACAUUAUAUACUAUUAUAUUAAAUCAUUUUUAUUUAAGUUAUUAACAAGGUUAGUAAUAGCCCCUAAAAAACCGUUCCCUAGAAUAUACUAAGCACAACGGUGUUAAGCUGCGAACGGAGAGAAGCCGUUGUUGAUGGAAAUUAUAAAAACCGUUCUCUAAAAAACCAAAGACAACGAUUAUUUACAAGGCGUUGCCAUUUGUAACAAAAACCGUUUUGAAAGGCUAAGACAACGCCUCAGUUUGAUACGGCGUAAAAACCGUUCUCAUAGACUAAGGGAACGGUUUUUAUAUAUUUCGCAACGGUUUUCUUUUGUUUUUGUAGGAUGAAAAUGUUGUAGUGCCAGUCAUCAAGACUCAGGUUUGCUCAGUUCACCAGACUAGGGUUUUGAGUCCAUCAAGGAUUAAAAUCAGGGACCACAUUUGGGAAACGCUAAGGAGAUUUAGGACAUCUAUCAAAUGGUUCAAUCAUCUUCAAAUGAUCCAUAUGACAAUAUCCAUAGGGCAUUACACUUCAAUUCAAGAUCUACAGUCAUCAAUUUCAUCUGGUCGACAAUUAGGGUUUUAGACCUAAUUCACUUGCACAGUUGACUUUUAAUCAGGACAUGGAUCCACCACUUAAAACAUGGCUCAAGAACUUCUAUUACUUCAAUAUAAUUCAUUCGUAUCAUCCAUUUGAGGAGGAGAGCUUGAUUCAACACAAAGCUCCAAAAUUUCACUUCAUCUGGAAAAAGUCAACUGUACAAGAUCACCUUUGACUUUUAAGAUUUUUGGUCAAACCAUGACUUUUAAGGACCAAUAUCAUCAAUAUAUGAUUAUUGAAGUCAUUUGGCCAAAGAAAAUCAAGAAAAAUCAUCAAGGAUCAAAAAGUCAACAAAAAGUCAAACUAGUGCAUUUUGACCUAGUUCAUGGAUAUCAAAAUUUCACCUACACAACUCAAAAAACUUCCAACAUUAAAGUUGUAGAUCUCAUCAAAUAAAACAACUUCUUACAUUGCAACUUUUUUCAA